rnacentral:rRNA from 1 species
GACGAACGCUGGCGGCGUGCCUAAUACAUGCAAGUCGAACGCUGAAGGAGGAGCUUGCUUCUCUGGAUGAGUUGCGAACGGGUGAGUAACGCGUAGGUAACCUGCCUGGUAGCGGGGGAUAACUAUUGGAAACGAUAGCUAAUACCGCAUAAUAGUAGAUGUUGCAUGACAUUUGCUUAAAAGGUGCAAUUGCAUCACUACCAGAUGGACCUGCGUUGUAUUAGCUAGUUGGUGGGGUAACGGCUCACCAAGGCGACGAUACAUAGCCGACCUGAGAGGGUGAUCGGCCACACUGGGACUGAGACACGGCCCAGACUCCUACGGGAGGCAGCAGUAGGGAAUCUUCGGCAAUGGACGGAAGUCUGACCGAGCAACGCCGCGUGAGUGAAGAAGGGUUUCGGAUCGUAAAGCUCUGUUGUAAGAGAAGAACGAGUGUGAGAGUGGAAAGUUCACACUGUGACGGUAGCUUACCAGAAAGGGACGGCUAACUACGUG